AGAGUUUGAUCCUGGCUCAGAACGAACGCUGGCGGCAGGCCUAACACAUGCAAGUCGAGCGCACCUUCGGGUGAGCGGCGGACGGGUUAGUAACGCGUGGGAAUAUGCCCUUCACUACGGAAUAGCCUCGGGAAACUGAGAGUAAUACCGUAUACGCCCUUUGGGGGAAAGAUUUAUCGGUGAAGGAUUAGCCCGCGUCUGAUUAGAUAGUUGGUGGGGUAACGGCCUACCAAGUCGACGAUCAGUAGCUGGUUUGAGAGGAUGAUCAGCAACACUGGGACUGAGACACGGCCCAGACUCCUACGGGAGGCAGCAGUGGGGAAUCUUAGACAAUGGGCGCAAGCCUGAUCUAGCCAUGCCGCGUGAGUGACGAAGGCCUUAGGGUCGUAAAGCUCUUUCGCCAGGGAUGAUAAUGACAGUACCUGGUAAAGAAACCCCGGCUAACUCCGUGCCAGCAGCCGCGGUAAUACGGAGGGGGUUAGCGUUGUUCGGAAUUACUGGGCGUAAAGCGCGCGUAGGCGGAUUGGAAAGUUGGGGGUGAAAUCCCGGGGCUCAACCCCGGAACUGCCUCCAAAACUAUCAGUCUAGAGUUCGAGAGAGGUGAGUGGAAUUCCGAGUGUAGAGGUGAAAUUCGUAGAUAUUCGGAGGAACACCAGUGGCGAAGGCGGCUCACUGGCUCGAUACUGACGCUGAGGUGCGAAAGUGUGGGGAGCAAACAGGAUUAGAUACCCUGGUAGUCCACACCGUAAACGAUGAAUGCCAGACGUCGGGGGGCUUGCCCUUCGGUGUCACACCUAACGGAUUAAGCAUUCCGCCUGGGGAGUACGGUCGCAAGAUUAAAACUCAAAGGGAAUUGACGGGGGCCCGCACAAGCGGUGGAGCAUG
rnacentral:rRNA from 1 species